GAAGAUAAAGCCAAACUCAUCGUGAGGUGGGGACGGAAAGCCACGGGUCUUAAAGCAUUCAAGAUAGCCGGGUUGCCUUGA
rnacentral:ncRNA from 1 species